UGCCACCACCAUAUCACCCUGCAGCUCAAAACCCGUUAUUCGACAGAAGCUAAGCAGGGCUGAGCCUGGCCAGUACCUGGAUGGCAGAACACAUGGGAAAACUAGUUUGCUGUUGGAG
ensembl:rRNA 5S_rRNA 5S ribosomal RNA